UACAUGGGGUGCAAACGUUGCUCGGAAUCAUUGGGCGUAAAGCGCGCGUAGGCGGUUACUUAAGUCGAAUGUGAAAGCCCUCGGCUUAACCGAGGAAGUGCAUCCGAAACUGAGUAGCUAGAGUACGAAAGAGGGUCGCGGAAUUCCCGGUGUAGAGGUGAAAUUCGUAGAUAUUAGGAAGAACACCGGUGGCGAAGGCGGCCCACUGGAUCGGUACUGACGCUGAGGUGCGAAAGCGUGGGGAGCAAACAGG
rnacentral:rRNA from 1 species